AUGAACGCUAGCUACAGGCUUAACACAUGCAAGUCGAGGGGCAGCAUGAACUUAGCUUGCUAAGUUUGAUGGCGACCGGCGCACGGGUGAGUAACACGUAUCCAACCUGCCGAUGACUCGGGGAUAGCCUUUCGAAAGAAAGAUUAAUACCCGAUGGCAUAAUUCUUCCGCAUGGUAGAAUUAUUAAAGAAUUUCGGUCAUCGAUGGGGAUGCGUUCCAUUAGGUUGUUGGCGGGGUAACGGCCCACCAAGCCUUCGAUGGAUAGGGGUUCUGAGAGGAAGGUCCCCCACAUUGGAACUGAGACACGGUCCAAACUCCUACGGGAGGCAGCAGUGAGGAAUAUUGGUCAAUGGACGAGAGUCUGAACCAGCCAAGUAGCGUGAAGGAUGACUGCCCUAUGGGUUGUAAACUUCUUUUAUACGGGAAUAAAGUGAGGCACGUGUGCCUUUUUGUAUGUACCGUAUGAAUAAGGAUCGGCUAACUCCGUGCCAGCAGCCGCGGUAAUACGGAGGAUCCGAGCGUUAUCCGGAUUUAUUGGGUUUAAAGGGAGCGUAGGCGGACGCUUAAGUCAGUUGUGAAAGUUUGCGGCUCAACCGUAAAAUUGCAGUUGAUACUGGGUGUCUUGAGUACAGUAGAGGCAGGCGGAAUUCGUGGUGUAGCGGUGAAAUGCUUAGAUAUCACGAAGAACUCCGAUUGCGAAGGCAGCCUGCUGGACUGUAACUGACGCUGAUGCUCGAAAGUGUGGGUAUCAAACAGGAUUAGAUACCCUGGUAGUCCACACAGUAAACGAUGAAUACUCGCUGUUUGCGAUAUACAGUAAGCGGCCAAGCGAAAGCGUUAAGUAUUCCACCUGGGGAGUACGCCGGCAACGGUGAAACUCAAAGGAAUUGACGGGGGCCCGCACAAGCAGUGGAGUAUGUGGUUUAAUUCGAAGCAACGCGAAGAACCUUACCAGGUCUUGACAUCCGAUACAUAGCACAGAGAUGUGUGAAAUCCUUCGGGACAUCGAGACAGGUGGUGCAUGGUUGUCGUCAGCUCGUGUCGUGAGAUGUUGGGUUAAGUCCCGCAACGAGCGCAACCCCUGUGAUUAGUUGCCAGCGAGUAAUGUCGGGAACUCUAAUCAAACUGCCGGUGAUAAAUCGGAGGAAGGUGGGGACGACGUCAAAUCAUCAUGCCCUUUAUGUCCUGGGCUACACACGUACUACAAUGGCUAUAACAAAGAGAAGCGAGACCGCGAGGUGGAGCAAAACUCAAAAAAGUAGUCUCAGUUCGGAUUGUAGGCUGAAAUUCGCCUACAUGAAGCCGGAAUUGCUAGUAAUGGCAGGUCAGCAUACUGCCGUGAAUACGUUCCCGGGCCUUGUACACACCGCCCGUCACACCAUGAGAGUUGGGAAUACCCGAAGCCUGUGAGCCAACUGUAAAGAGGCAGCAGUCGAAGGUAGAAUCAAUGAUUGGGGUG
rnacentral:rRNA from 1 species